rnacentral:rRNA from 1 species
AUUGAACGCUGGCGGCAGGCCUAACACAUGCAAGUCGAACGGUAGCACAGAGAGCUUGCUCUCGGGUGACGAGUGGCGGACGGGUGAGUAAUGUCUGGGAAACUGCCCGAUGGAGGGGGAUAACUACUGGAAACGGUAGCUAACACCGCAUAACGUCGCAAGACCAAAGUGGGGGACCUUCGGGCCUCACACCAUCGGAUGUGCCCAGAUGGGAUUAGCUAGUAGGUGGGGUAAUGGCUCACCUAGGCGACGAUCCCUAGCUGGUCUGAGAGGAUGACCAGCCACCCUGGAACUGAGACACGGUCCAGACUCCUACGGGAGGCAGCAGUGGGGAAUAUUGCACAAUGGGCGCAAGCCUGAUGCAGCCAUGCCGCGUGUAUGAAGAAGGCCUUCGGGUUGUAAAGUACUUUCAGCGGGGAGGAAGGCGGUGAAGUUAAUAGCUUCACCGAUUGACGUUACCCGCAGAAGAAGCACCGGCUAACUCCGUGCCAGCCGCCGCCGUAA